GGCAGACGGGUGAGUAAUGCAUAGGAAUCUACCUAGUAGUAUGGGAUAGCCACUAGAAAUGGUGGGUAAUACUGUAUAAUCCCUGCGGGGGAAAGAUUUAUCGCUAUUAGAUGAGCCUAUGUUAGAUUAGCUAGUUGGUAGGGUAAAGGCCUACCAAGGCAGUGAUCUAUAGCUGGUCUGAGAGGAUGAUCAGCCACACUGGAACUGAGAUACGGUCCAGACUCCUACGGGAGGCAGCAGUGGGGAAUAUUGGACAAUGGGCGCAAGCCUGAUCCAGCUAUGCCGCGUGAGUGAGGAAGGCCUUAGGGUUGUAAAACUCUUUCAGUGGGGAAGAUAAUGACGGUACCCACAGAAGAAGUCCCGGCAAACUCCGUGCCAGCAGCCGCGGUAAUACGGAGGGGGCAAGCGUUGUUCGGAAUUAUUGGGCGUAAAGGGCAUGUAGGCGGUUCGGUAAGUUAAAGGUGAAAUGCCAGGGCUUAACCCUGGAGCUGC
rnacentral:rRNA from 1 species